rnacentral:rRNA from 1 species
GAUGAACGCUGGCGGCGUGCCUAAUACAUGCAAGUCGAGCGAACAGACGAGGAGCUUGCUCCUCUGACGUUAGCGGCGGACGGGUGAGUAACACGUGGAUAACCUACCUAUAAGACUGGGAUAACUUCGGGAAACCGGAGCUAAUACCGGAUAAGAUAUUGAACCGCAUGGUUCAAUAGUGAAAGACGGUUUUGCUGUCACUUAUAGAUGGAUCCGCGCCGCAUUAGCUAGUUGGUAAGGUAACGGCUUACCAAGGCAACGAUGCGUAGCCGACCUGAGAGGGUGAUCGGCCACACUGGAACUGAGACACGGUCCAGACUCCUACGGGAGGCAGCAGUAGGGAAUCUUCCGCAAUGGGCGAAAGCUUGACGGAGCAACGCCGCGUGAGUGAUGAAGGUCUUCGGAUCGUAAAACUCUGUUAUUAGGGAAGAACAAAUGUGUAAGUAACUAUGCACGUCUUGACGGUACCUAAUCAGAAAGCCACGGCUAACUACGUG